rnacentral:lncRNA from 1 species
GUGCCACUGCAUUCCAACCAUGCCUGACUGCAAUGCCUUGAUUCAACCUAGUUCAAUCUUUUAACAUUUAUUUUUGGAUAGCUAGUUUAGAGUUUUGUAAAAAAAAAUCCAUUUUAUAUAGAGUUUGCUCUUGUGUUGCAUAGCUAGUUUGUUUGGAUACAUCUAUAUAAAAGAGAUUUUUUUAUUUUACAAAACUAGUUCAAUCUUUUAACAUUUAUUUUCUCUCUCCUCUAAAAAAAAUCCAUUUUUUGAGAAGUUACUCUUAACAGCUUCUCAUUUGAAGUUGUUUAAAAAAAAAAAUAAUAAGAUUCCGAUUUUUUUAAAAAGUUGUAACAAACACAUGCAAUAUUCUUAAAAGUGAUUAUUUUGUUUAAAAAAGCUAUAACAAACGGGCUCUUAGAGCAGCUUCUAAAAAAAUAGAUUUUUUUAGAGUAGGGAGAAAAUAUUGUUUAAAUAAUUGAACUAAUUUUUUAACAAAAAAAAAUCCCUUUUAUAUAGUUGUAUACAAACAAACUAGAUUAUUUGUUUUUAAAAAUUGUUUUUUAUUAUGGUAAAUAAACGCAAAAUAGAUAGAUUCUUAUUUUCAUAAAAUCUUUAAAAUAUGGGUCCGUUUGUUGCAGAUUAAAAUAAAAGUGAUUUUGACAUAAAAUAAUUUAGAGAUUAUAUUUUAGAGACUUUAUGAAAAAUCAGAAUCUAUUUUCCGUUUGUUUAUCGUAUUAAAAAUAUAUUUUUUUAAACAAAUAAUCUAGUUUGUUUGGAUACAACUAUAUAAAAGGGAUUUUUGUUACAAAAUUAGUUCAAUCUUUUAAACAAUAUUUUUUUCUACUCUAAAAAAAAUCUAUUUUUUUAGAAGCUGCUCUUAACAGCUUCUCAUUUGAAGCUGUUUUUAGAUUUUUUUUAGAUUCUGAUUUUUUUUUUAAAAAAACUGUAACAAAUUGAUAUAAUAUUCUUAAAAGUGAUUAUUUUCUUAAAAAAAGUAAUUUUUUUUUGUAAAAAAUACUAUAACAAACGGGCUCAUAAACAUGCCCAAAUUAUGGAUCAAAAUAUUGAACUAGUUUUGUACCAAAAAGUCGUUUUUAUAUAGCUGUAUCCAAACUAAAUUAUUUUUAAAAAAAUGUGAUUUUUAUUAGGGAAAACAAACAUAAAAUAGAUUCUGAUUUUUCAUAAAAUCUCUAAGAGUUUAAUGAUGGUGGGUUGAGAGUUGAAAAUAAUAAAUUUGCACCCGCAACCAAUCAAAACAUUUAGAAUUGUCAUAUCAAUUAAAUUAUUACUUAGCUUAUAAUUGAUGUAGCAAUUCUAAAUGUUUUUAUUGAUUUUUUGUGUGCAAUUCUAAGUAUACGGCCUUUUUUCAUAGAGUGGCCAAAAUUAGGAAUGCCUCCAGCCUUAUAACCUCAAUAUCCAAUGGUGGUGAGCUGUUAACUGAUCCUUCUAAAAUCUCUGAGCACAUUGUCAAUCAUUUUAUAGAUAUUUUCAAUCAUACCUCUGAUAUUAUAAACAAUGGAAUGGUGGAAGAAGUGAUUCCUACUCUUAUCACAGAUAGGAUCAAUAACAUUCUCACUUUGCUCCCAUCUGAUGAUGAAUUUCAUCAAGCAGUAUUUUCUCUUAACAAAGAAAGUGCCCCAGGUCCUGAUGGAUUUGGAGCACUUUUUUAUCAAACUUUUUGGGAUAUUAUAAAAAAUGAUGUUUCUAACGCUGUUUUAGAAUUUUUCAAAACUGGUUGGAUUUUGCCAAAUUUUAACUCUAAUAAUAUUUCUUAUUCCAAAGACUAACCAUGCAGGUACAAUUUCUCAUUAUAGACCUAUAGCCAUUCUCAACUUCAAACUCAAGAUUAUCACAAAGAUAUUGGCAAAUAGGCUUUCGAAAUUUAUGCCUGCUUAUCAUUUAAACUCAAAAGAGAGGUUUUACUAAAGGAAGGAGUAUUAAAUAUUGUACUUGCUAAGCCAUAAAUGUCCUUAAUAAGAAGUCUUUUGGUGGUAACUUGGCUAUGAAGAUUGAUAUUGCAAAGGCUUUUGAUACUCUAGACUCGGCCUUUUUGCUUAGAGUUUUAAAAGGCUUUGGUUUUUGUGACACCUUCUGCAACUGGAUCAACUCUAUUCUCCUAUCAGUUAGGAUUUCAGUUUCAAUCAAUGGCAGGAUACAUGGUUUCUUCAGGUGUAGUAGGGGAGUGCGACAGGGGGAUCCUCUGUCCCCUCUUCUUUUUUGCCUUGCAAAGGAAGUUAUUAGUAGAAGCUUGACAGAGAUGGUCAGAGAAGGAAAGUUGAAGCUUAUUCAUGGCACCAGGAAGAUCAAUAUUCCAUCUCAUAUUUUAUAUGCAGAUGACAUGAUGAUUUUUUGCAAAGGAACGAAUUCCAACAUCAAAGCUCUUAAGGAUGUCUACUUGAAGUAUGUAGAAUCUUCUGGUCAAAUGGAAAAUCCUCAGAAAUCUUCAAUUUAUGCAGGCUCAAUCACCAGUCAUAGAUUGUCUCAGGUAUCUCAUCAACUUGGUUUUAGCAUUGGCACUCUACCAUUUCAAUAUCUAGGAGUUCCAAUUUUCAGAGGCAAACCAAAAUAUGUUUAUUUUCAAGCUAUUGCUGAUAAAGUCAAAAGAAAGCUUUCAGCUUGGAAAGCAUCCCUUCUCUCAAUGGCUGGUAGAGUGCAAUUAAUCAAGAGUGUUGUUCAAAGUAUGCUUCUUCACUGUCUUACCAUCUAUUCUGGGCCAGUUAAACUCAUAAAAGAUUUGGAAAAAUGGAUGAGAAACUUUAUUUGGAGUGGAUAUAUUAAUCAGAGAAAGCUUGUAACUGUCUCUUGGUCUAAAGUGUGCAAGCCUAUCAAAGAAGGAGGUCUUGGAGUCAAAAACCUAUCAGAUAUUAAUGAAGAAGGUAAUCUUAAGAACUGUUGGGAUAUUAUGCAGUCAGAUUUACAAUGGGCUCAAUUUAUGAGAAGCAGAGUUCUUAGGGAUAACAAACCUAUUAAUUAUCACGUCUCUUCCUCUAUUUGGAGCAGUGGUAAGCACAAAUUUAGUACCCUAAUGAUAAUGUUGUUUGCAAGAUUGGAAAUGGUGAACCAAUUAGAUUUUGGAUUGACCGCUGGUGUGGUGAACUACUCAUUUUGGCCUUGAACAUUCCAGACCAUCUCCAUAAUCUCUUGCAAUCUAAACUUUCUACUUACAUCAGAGAUUUCAAAUGGAAUAUCCCUCAUGUUUUUCUAUCUGCCUACCCUUAUUUACACCAAAAGCUUAUUCUCACCACUUUGCCUAAUACUUUUAAAGAAGAUAAGCUCAUCUCGAAAACAUCUCAUGAUGAUAACCUCACUUUUAAGGAUGCUUACAUGUUUCAUGCUUCCCCUCAUCCUCAAACCUUGAAUUGGACAAAGUGCAUCUGGAAUACUGCCAUAACUCCAUCUAAAUCAUCUGAGGUGACCAGUUGCUAUUACGACAUUCCUGGAAGGAAGAAUUAGAAAACAUGAGGUUUCAUACUUAAUUUCAUUAAGUAGAAUUAAGAAAUAACCAAUUAGAACAACCAUGAACAUAAGAAGAAUUUCGGGUUGUCAAUCCUACUAAUCUAUACAGACCAAUUUUCAAGAUUAUCGAUACGAAUUUUCAAUUGAAAAAACAUUAAGCACGGAAAAGAACAAAUUAAAUCAGACACAAGAAAAGCGUAAAUGAAUAAAAACUUAAUUAAUGGAAUCCAACAAAUAAGAAGGGGUUUAUCUUUGAACCCUAAUCAAAGAGGUUUAGUUGCACAUGGCAACAUACAUCAUCGCAAAACAAAAGAAAAAUAUAUCUUAGAGAGAACAAGAGGAGGAUGGAGAUCCUCUGCCUUGGACUCUGAUGCUUGACAUUUGCCUUGCACCGUUAGCUUUCUGAAUGAAUAAGAAUGUGUGCAAGUGUCUAUUUUUAUAACAUAUGAUUACUUGCGGUUUAAAAGAAGAAAACCGACAUUUUUCCACCGAUCCAGCUUGGAAAACAAGUAAAGAAUGAUAUUAACUCGCAGAAAAGAAAAGAUGUGCAUCCCUGGGGAGCAUGAUACGUAUGAGGCAAACACUGUCGCUAAAAGCGAUUUUUGAGUACCGUUUCAAAGCGGAUGGUAGUUAAUUAUUGUUAGGGAUAUUUUCAUCAAAUUGAAGUGCUUGUAAGCAGGCACAGAUGGAAGCUAUGUACAAUGGGAUCAGUUGACCCCACUCUUGGUUUUUCUCUCCCAACCAGUAAUGGGAUAAUUGAAUAUCUUGACCCAAAUUUAAAUCUUAUAUAUGUUCCUCACAUAGAGAUAAACCAAUGUCUAAUAUGUAAACAAUUUGAAAAUAGUGUUACUUUGUACUGCAUUUUGAAAAGUAGAUCGGUGUUAUCAUCAUUUGCCUAUUUUCCUAUAUAUGCAUUAAAAAAAUAUUGGCAUUUGGGUUUUUCUGUUUGACAAAGACAUUUGGACUUUUACUUUUAAAAAUAUCAUUGGUCUUUCUUUAAAAAAAAAAAUAUAAAAAAAAAAACACUCGUUGUUUUCACAUCUAUUGUUUUCUAGAAACACAUGAAAAUGACCAAAAAACUCAUCGGUAGUUAAUUACUGUCGGAUUUCUAGUUAUAAGUCAGCGAUAGUUAACUACCGAUGAUGUAGUUUUAAGAAACAAUGAAUGUGAGAUAAGAAAUUAUCAAGAAAAUGCUCCAAAAAAGAUUAAAAAAUUAAUGAGAAAAAAAAAAAGAAUUGAAAUAGGUAUUGGAAGAUGAAUUGCUUAACAAUAGGUUUAUAAAGGUGUGUUGUGAAUUGCUUAAUUGUGUAACAUGAAUUGCUUCUUAAUAGGUUUAGAAAGGUGAGUGGUAAAUUGCUUCCUUGGAGAUCAUGGGACUUAAAAAUUCUAUCAUGGAUGUUUGUUCCUUUUUGCGAACAAUUUUCUAAUUUAGAUGGGGUAAGUUAUCUUUUAAGAAAGUCUGUGAAAACUAGAAAACAAAUUUGUUAUCCAAUAUUAUACUUAAUUUUAAAGCUAACAUUAUUAUUGCAUAUGGCGACUCCAAUUCUUGACAGGAGUUUCUCUGCAAUAAAUUUUGUAAAGAAUCAAAUGCACAGCCAUAUAGAAGAUGAACUUUUAAUGAUUAAUUGAUAACAUGUUGACGGUAACAUAUUCGACACUGUUGAAAAUAAAAUAUAAAAAAACUUACAUCACUUUAAGAAUAUUUUUUUUGAAGGAAUCACUUUUAAAAUAUGAAAACAUGCAAAGAGCAAUUAUAAUUCUUUGAUAUGACGGUGUCUUUAGUACAAUAAUAUAAUUUUUUGCUUAAUGAUAUCAUCAUUUCAUCGGUUUUCAAGUAAUAUAUUAUUGUUUUAAGGUUUAUAACAAAUAACUUUAACUCUUAUUAAAAAUUUUGGAUUUGUCACUGUCUAUCAGGAAUCGCUAGCACCAGGAUGGUAAAAAGGAUGGUACAAAAUUAACCUCUUUUUCUACCAUCGUUCAUAUCAAAUAAAGAAGGUUUUUCUAUAAUGUCCUCAAAAAAAAGAAUAGCAUCAUUUGAUCCAAAAUAAAACAUUAUCAGUGUGCAAUGUGCACGACAAUGACAAUAAAAACACACAUACUACACUAGACAAGAAAGCUUUUUCAAAGCAGCAGCCAAAACUACAGUAGCAACUUCAAUUCAGCAAGUUAGUUUUAUAUAAUAAUAAUAAUAAUAAUAAUAAUAAUAAUAAUAAUAAUGUUUUAUUUUAUUUUAUGCUUUAUUAUUAUUAUUAUUAUGUUUUAUUUUAAAUGAGAAAAAGUUUCUAAGUUGAGCUAUAUAGCUUCAAUAGAUCAGGGCAUGCCUCAAUACUUGUACUUACAAAUCACACCGACUAAAAGUAUGGUUCAGAUUGGCAGAGAGUUGAACCCACGACAUUAUAGAUGAGUCAAUAUCUUAUCAACUAAUAUGUUAGCUAAACUCACAUCAACAAUCUCACAUUAACAAAGACAAAAAAAUUUGAGUACUAUACCAACCUUUGUAAAUGGGAAAGAAAAAAAAAAUUACUGUUUAGAAUUAGAAGCUCUGACGAUUUAUUCACCAUAAUUAAUCUUCACGGAAAUGCCCGUGACUUUUUUCACCAGAGGACAAAAUGAAAGCUUUGAAUUUUAACUCUUUCCCAAAUAAAACCACCCACAAUAGUCUCAAUCUCAAUCAAAUUGCACUUAUGGCGUUUGCCGCAGUAAUGUCUUACAUUAAGCGACCAAGACAAGAUUUAAUGUCUUCACUCUUGAGCAUACCAUAUACUCCAUCUCCAAAUAUUGAGUGUUGCUAUCUUCAUUUUUAUCCUGGCGAGGUUUGAAAAUGGCGGCGUCGAUUGUUUGGUUAGGAAGAGGAGAUGUUGUUGGAGUAUAGGGAGCUAUUAUCUACCUUUUUUUUACAAAGACAAUAUGAGGUGGAAGAUAGGUGAAAAUGACAACUCACAUCUGACAAAGGCUACACCAUCAGAGAUGUUUAUCACCUGUUGGUUAAGGAUGAUCCGGUCGAUAACCUUCAAGAUGUUAUUUGGCACAAAGUGUCACUUUUAAAAGUUUCUAUUAUUGUAUGGCAUUUUCUCCGAAAUAGGUUGCUAACAUAUGAUAAUCUAUUUUGAUGUGAAAUUAUUCAACAAAACUUGAAUGUGUGUGUAAGUGGUUGUGGUUUUGAGGAAGGCAUAAAUAAUUUAUAUUUGGGAUGUAAUCUUUUUGGAAGGAGGAAUACUAACAACACUCACUUUUCAACACUCUCUCCAACAUUUAUUCAUUUAUUGGAUGAAAUUAAUGUAUGUUCCACCACUUAGUGCGGGUUCAAUUUUCAAAGUGUAGACCCACAAUGAUUUAAACCAUUAAGAGAGUGGAUAUUAGAAAGAGUGUUUAAAAGAGAGUGUUGCUAGCAUUACUCAUUCAAUUAAUAAAUCCUUCAAAUUUGUUUGAUCAUAUGUUGUAUUUUGGCAUGCUUGGCGGGUUCUCCAAAAUCAUUUGCUAUUAUUUUUGUACCACUUGGCUCGCCUAUCUAUGGGUUAUAUGGAAGGAAAAAAUUACCGUUGUUUUCAGCAAAAGGUGGAGUCAAUAAAUUAUUGCUUGAUAAUGUUAAAUUGUUGUCUUUUUUUUUUUUUGUGGUUGAAAGUAAAAGAUCCUAGCUUAUCUUUUGAUCUUAAUCAUUGGUGGGUUUGUUCUUUGUUGCAU